rnacentral:rRNA from 1 species
AUUGAACGCUGGCGGCAUGCCUUACACAUGCAAGUCGAACGGCAGCACGGGAGCAAUCCUGGUGGCGAGUGGCGAACGGGUGAGUAAUAUAUCGGAACGUGCCCAGUCGUGGGGAUAACGUAGCGAAAGCUACGCUAAUACCGCAUACGAUCUACGGAUGAAAGCGGGGGAUCGCAAGACCUCGCGCGAUUGGAGCGGCCGAUAUCAGAUUAGGUAGUUGGUGAGGUAAAGGCUCACCAAGCCGACGAUCUGUAGCUGGUCUGAGAGGACGACCAGCCACACUGGGACUGAGACACGGCCCAGACUCCUACGGGAGGCAGCAGUGGGGAAUUUUGGACAAUGGGCGCAAGCCUGAUCCAGCAAUGCCGCAUGCAGGAUGAAGGCCUCGGUU